rnacentral:lncRNA from 1 species
AGCAUCUGGAACAGUCUAUCAUGGCUGGAUUGAUCAUGAGACGGAGGUAGCUGUCAAAAUGUUAUCUUCCAAAUCAGCUCAAGGAAAUAUGCAAUUCCAAGCAGAGGUAGUAUCAUUAGUUAACUGGCAAAUUUCAUCAUGCCUGUGUGUAUGUGUGUGUGUGUGUGCGCGCGUGUGUAUAGUUAAUGCAGCUCUUGUUCCAGANNNAUUUUACUCAUUUGACAAUUGCUUUCAACUAUAUUAAUUAAUAUAUUUUGUCUAUGAUGCAUUAAUACUUCAUUUUCCCUUGUCUCAUAUUCGAUACUCUCCGAUUCCAUCACAAAGACACACACACACACACUAGCAUAGUAUUAGUAUCAACAACUCUUGAAAAAAAAUAUCAUGAGAGAUAUUAUUAUUUAAUAUGAUAGUAGUAAUACUAAUAGCAAUUAAAUUAUAUUGAUCCAAGUACCUAGGCAAUAAAAAAUUGAUAAGCAAAGUUGGGUAUUUAUGCCUUUGAAGUAUAAUAAAAAACAAGUGGGUUGUUACAGAACUAAUAUACCUUGCUUGAAUGGAUAAACUUCUUGCUGCAAACAUUUCUCUUCGAAUUCACCAAACCUUGGAAUGGUGUUGGCGAUGGAGGACUAGCAGAGUUCAAGAUCCAAAAAUGUGAUAGCUAGAUUAUUGAGAGUCAUUAUAGCUCAGAUCAAAUUUGUCGGAGCAGGGAGAAAACCAUCAAGAAACCUGAACUUAUUCUUGGAAAUAUGGGCCUGAUUUCAACCAUUCUGCAAUGGAUUUCAUCUGAUGUGGAGAUGGAACAACAGUGUAUUUCAAGCUUGAAGUCACUAGUGUCUUUGACAUCACUAAGACAAAAAGAAACAUUUUUCAUCUUUAUGUAGAAAAAAAAAAGGGAAACAAAAUUAAAUCACCUAAUAGCACAGUAAUAUACCUUUGGGCUAAAACAAA